AAGAAUAGCACAGAACAAACUCACGAGACCCGGAAUGGUUCAAUCGGAAAACCCCACGGCCACAAGAGGACUGCUAAGUCAGGAAGAGCACCUGUAUGUCUUCAAAGCUGUCAGUGGCGGUAUGAGCAAAAAACAAAGAGGGGAGACUACAAGGAAUUUCCAACAUCCUGCUCACUAGAUAAGAGGCAGCGAUCAGCUCAAGAUGACUGGUACAAUCUAAGCUGUAUGAGAGAGAAGGACCUUCCUCCCGGAGGCUGGCCUCCUGAUCUCAGAUGCCCGAUUCAUUGCCCAUCCACUGGUGUAAAACUUUGAGUCUAUCUGAAAUUUUAGUCUACACCAUCUUCAGAAGGAUGCUGUGGGGUUUCUACCUCAAACAAGAUGGCUGUCCUAAAUUACACUUCUGAAGGUCUAGGAAAAAGCUCCCACCUUAUAUUCUGGAAUCGGCUGGAACCAAAAUAGUACUGCACCAGCUCCUGGGGUCUUGGUGCAUUUUCAUGGUGCCCUACCUAUAAAGUUUCUACAUGUGCGUUCAGUGUUCUAGAUGGCCAGAAGAAGUCAUCAGCUUUCCCGAGGCUGGAGUUACAGGGAGUGUGAGCCACUUGACAUGGGCACUGGAAACUGAACCCAGGCGCUCUGCAGAAGUAAUGUGAACCCUGAACUGCUGAGCCGGGUGCAACCCACUAAAAGAAGGCAAAUCAUUGUCAUGGAGAAUGAAUACAGAAAGGAUGAUGAACAGUCAAUAAAGAUAAAAGGUUGGGUCAGAGAAGGUAGAUGGAAGAAAAUGUGCUAGCUACUGAGACCACUUCAACUGUUGUGACCCUAAGAUGAACACUGGCUGGAAAGCCUUCUGGCAUGAGCAUGAAGGGGAAAUGUGUUAUCAGAAGGAAGCAUUCUCAGUUAUCUGGGAGGACAGACCUUAUGGGGGACCUUUUAUAGAAACACCCAGAUUGUGUUUGUUUCUCUAACAAUGCCCUUAGAAGGGGCUGGAGCUAUAAAAUACAGUGGAGAUAACCUCUGACCUUUCUGGCUACAGCUCUCAAGUUUCCUUUUAAAGCUGUCUCCCUAACCCUCAGGUCCCUCUGUGCAGCACUCAGCCUGUGCUAGGCUCUCAGUAACUGGAUUUGCACUACACACUGUCUGCUCUCCAAUUCACCCCAUGCAUUGCCCCAUAGGAAAGCUCUUAAACAUCCUCAAGUCCCACAAGGGACAAAAUCGUUCAGCUGCUCCCAAUGAUUCCACGGAAAGCCUGGACAUCCCAGCUGGGUAGUCACACAGCUCUUGCUCUGACUGGAACCUACAGAUUAUAAACACAUCCCUCCCUAUUCUAACUAUCCGCUUGGACCUUACUUUUUCUAACCAGGGUUUUGACUGCCAUCUUCUUGCUCUCCUAAUCUCUUCUAACCGCCUAUGCAAAUUCUAGGUCUCUUUUAUUUUCUAAGCCAGUACAUGAGUGUUGCAGACACCUCUGAAGACUCCUGACCCUUUGGGAGAGGGUAUCUGAAAGACGAAAAACAUUUCUAUAACACAGAAGAUGGUACUUGUCUUCCUUGUGUUAACAACCGCAAGUCGGUGCUUAAGAGCAGUGGAGGCUGGCUGAAGAGAUGGCUCGGUGGUUAAGGACACUGGCUACUCUUCCUAGAGGGCCUGGGUUUGAUUCCCAGCACCCACAUGGGAGCUUACAACUUCUGUAUCUGUGGUUGCAGAGGAUCUCAUGUCCUUCUCUGACACCACACACACUUGUGGUAUACAGACAUACACGCAGGCAAAAUACCCAUAUCUAUAAAAUAAACAAGGUUUUUAAAACCAAAAUGGUGAAGGGUGAAAGUCACCGCUUUGCUGGCCCUACUGUGCCUACAGUCAGUUCCUGUCCAUGCUCUCCCCCUUGCUGCAGAGCCUCCCUAACUGGCACACUCAGCUCCCAGCUGUUUAAUGCCAUGUAAAGACAGAAGCUCUCAUAAAGUGAAGUUCUCUAUCCCCACAUCAAAGUUCCCUGAAGUCCCCGGGAAAAGUACUUCUGAACUGUGCACUCAAAUGUCCCCCUGCACCAGGAAGCAUUCUAUCCCACAGAAAUUGACUAAAACAUGAUUAUAAAGACGUAGGUAGCCGGUAGAUGCUUUCAAGAAAACAUACUUGUCAUUAAUGACAAUAUCCUAAACCUUCAAGCAAGUCCUAGAACUCAACACAAUGGUUUUCAUCCUGACUGCCUAAUGGCUUCCUAAUAAUGGCUUUUUUGUUGAGACUGAAGGUAAUGUUAUGAAAUGUGACAUCUCUUUUCUCAUUUUGGAUAAGGAAACAAGUAAACGUUUGUAAGAGCUACCAAUCUUUAAUAUCUACUAUGACAUAAGCAAACAAGAAAAUCCAGCUAUCUACUCUUACACAGACCUGAAAAAUAUGUAAAACAAUGCCAUUUCUUCUUCUAAAUCAAAAAAAAUCCUAUAUUAAUAUAUGCUGAUGUAUAUUUACAUGAUUCAGUAUUAAUUUAUUUAUCAUUCUUUGGUUUAUUGUUGGUCAUAUUUAAAUUAAUAAAUGUGUUAAGUUUUAAGUUUUUUAGUGUACUGUUUUAAGGUCUAGUGUACUGAAUAUUAUGUAGGUCCAUGUUAUUGAGUAUAAAAUGUAAGACUUUAAAGUUGAGAGCUACAGUUCUAUACAACUCUAAUAUUGCAUUAUAUAAAUUACCAUAGUAUAAUGUCAUACAUAUGUAACAUAAUGUCAUGUAUUUGUGUGUACACUACCGAUAACUUUUAAUUGGACUAUAACCCUGAAGGGAAAAUUUGCUUUGCUUUUAACCAGUUAACACCAGGGAAAGCAAUCCGAUGGAUAUUUGUUGCACUUAGUUGAUGUAACAUACUCCAGUAAAAAUAUUUAACGUAACCACUCGGUCAAAGUGUUAUACUUAGUUGCCAAAAGACAGGACUAAGGGUCUAUCUAACCUUGCAGGUUUGCAGAGACUACUGUAGAUGAUGUAGGAAAUUAGCAACGCUAUCCUGAUGCAGCCCCAGUCUCUCUGUUCCUUUAGCGUUUUUAUGUCUUUGGUUUGUUUGUUUGUUUGUUUGGGAUGAGGCUGAGUGUCUCUCUGUGAUGCUUGGGACUGGCUUGAGCUCCAGAUUCUCCUGUUUCACGCCCUCCUAUGCAGCUGGGAUCUCAGACUGAUGCUGCUGCAUCUGCUCACAAUGGGCUUCAGUGUUUAAUCCCCUCACCUUUGUGCUGUAGGUCCAUUUUCUAGGAUCCCCGUUACCUUCCAUGGUAAAGCGUUGGGGUCUUCCCUUGUCAGCCUGUUGAGGUUCCCUAGCUCAGAGCACCUUUCCUCUCCUUAAAUGUCACGGCUCCCAAUUCUAACUGUUGAGCUAUUUGUGUAAUGGCUUAAUUAAUGUCUGUCUCUCACUAGAACGUAUGCCCCAAGGGGACACAGACUGUGCCGUCUUUUCACUGCUAUUUCCCAAAAGAGUUACAAAAAAACAUUAAAUGGGUAAAUAUUAUUAAAUAAAUCAAAUGAAAUUAA